AGGAACUUGUCCAUGGAACAGUAACAUGUUGUUUUAUGUACCGGCUACUGGAAAACAGACAGGACCUCUUAGUUUAGCUGAUGAAAGCAAAGAUGGCAUCUCUUACGUUCCCUGGGCCACUAGCCAGAUUCAUCCCAAAGAUAAUGGGUACCACAGUAUACAAUAUGGGCCUGUUGUACUGUGUUGUACGUGCCAAGGAGGCGUGUGAACGUGCUACUGCUGUGCUGAAGACUAAUGCUGUGAGAGAGGGGGAUAUCUA
rnacentral:lncRNA from 1 species